GUAAGGUUCAAAUGAAAUCAUAAUUGUAAAGGGCUUAGGACAAUGCCUGGUACAUAAUAAGCAUUAUAGAAAUAUUACCUAUUUUUUCUUUAGCUUUUUAUUUUUUGAUUUCCUGUCCUUUCCCUUUUAGGAAUGGGAAGGGCUAAGCUCUCAACCACAGUCUCAUGGCUCUUCAAAGGUCCAACGAGAUAAACAUUGGGGAAUUUAUAUCUGUGAGUGGACCCUGGUUUUCAUCAUACAUGUUUAAAAAACCUAACUUGUUCUUCCUCUGGAUGUGGAUCACUGCAUUGCCACUAAUGGAGAAAUACAUUACAUUCGAUUGUACCACAGUGUAAGUCUCUGUGUACAAUGUUCUCCUGUUUCUGCUCCUUUCACUCUGCAUCAAUUCCUGGAGGUUGUUCCAGUCCCCAUGGAAUUCCUCCAGUUUAUUAUUUCUUUGAGCACAAUAAUAUUCCAUCACCAGCAUAUACCAUAAUUUGUUCAGUCAUUCCCCAAUGAGGGCAUUCCCUCCUUUUCCAAUUUUUUUGCCACCACAAGGAGUGCAGCUAUGAAUAUUCUUGUACAAGUCUUUUUCCUUAUUAUCCCUUUGGGGUAUAAACCCAGCAGUGCUAUGGCUGGAUCAAAGGGCAGGCAGUCUUUUAGUGCCCUUUGGGCAUAAUUCCAAAUUGCCUUCCAGAAUGGUUGGAUCAAUUCACAACUACCAUCAAUGCAUUAAUAUCCCAAUUUUGCCACAUCCCCUCCAGCAUUCAUUACUUUCCAUAGCUGUUAUGUUAGCCAAUCUGCUAGGUGUGAGGUGAUACUUCAGAGUUGUUUUGAUUUGCAUUUCUCUGAUUAUAAGAGAUUUAGAACAUUUUUUAUGUGCUUAUUAAUAGUUUUGAUUUAUUUAUCUGAAAAUUACCUAUUCAUGACCCUUGCCCAUUUAUCAAUUGUGGAAUGGCUUGAUUUUUUGUAUAAUUGAUUUAUCACCUUACAAAUUUGAGUGAUUAGACCUUUGUCAGAGGUUUUUGUCAUAAAGAUUGUUUCCCAAUUUGUUGCUUCCUUUCUAAUUUUGAUUGCAUUGGUUUUGUUUGUACAAAAACUUUUUAGGGAGCCAGAUUUUCAAGGACACCAAACAGGAUUUUAUAUAUCUGAUCCUGGAGGUGACAGGAACUCUUUAGAGUUAAUUGAAUGUGGGGAGUGGGAGGAUAGCAUGGUCAGAACUAUCCUUAAGGAAGAUCAAUUUAUCAGAUGAGUAGAGGAUAGACUAAAUUGGGGAGAACCUAAGACAAGGAAACCAACAAGAAGAUUAUCCCAACAGUCUAGGCAUGAAGUGAUGAGGGCCUGCACUAGGGUGGU
rnacentral:lncRNA from 1 species